rnacentral:misc_RNA from 1 species
GAAACAUGGGGCUUUUGAAAACUGAGAGGAAAAGGAAAACGAAAAAUUGGAAAAUCGUUAUGGCUGAGCACUGAACCAGAGAAAAGCAUACUCUGCGCUGAGAUUUCAGAAUUGCAGUUGCACAUCCAUUACCUGAAUGACUAACGCCAUUAAAAUGGGCGAAGCUCGCAAACUGAAAGAGCAAAACCGUCAAGACAACAAGAUUGGACAGAUCCUAACGAACCUCGCUAAAUUCGCUGUCGAUUCUACAGCCAACGGCGCUCUCAAAGGCGUCACUGGUUAGUUAUCUCUCUAUUAUCAUCAAAAUUGAAAAUUUCUAACUUUGAAUUGUUUGAUUAAACCGGUAAUUAAGAACAAUUAUGCUUCCAAAUUGUUAUAUAUUGCUAGUUCUCCGUAUGAAUUUGUGCUUGUAGGAUAUUAUUUAUGCGUAGAUUUGAACUGUUUCUGAAUUCAUGGCCAAAAUUGAUGUGGUCAAUUGGGUACUUCGCUUCUUCUCUGUUAUCCUUGGAAAUAGUUUUGUCUUUGCAGUGUAUUAAUGGCCUCUAAUCAAUUAAUCGUUUAGAUAGGUACAGCUCCUUCCAAUUUAGUUUAAAGUCCGUGUUUGUGACUUUUUGCAUAUAGAAUUGAAUUCGAACACAGGCAUGUAAUCUGGCACUUUCUAAGAUCACAUAUUAGACGAUCUAAAUAUGCCUUUACUUGCAUGAGUAAGCUGAGGAAUAUCAUUUUUACUUGAUGAAUAUGUGAAGAGCAUAUUUGAAGUGCUAAUUCUUUCCAAGGGCUAGAGAACAACCCGUGAAUUUGGACCUCAGGCGCUAAACUAAACAAAACUUCACUAUGGAAGUAUGUCUGCAAUGUUAUGAACUAACUUUCAGUGAUCAACAAAAUGGCAUAGCUGUUCCCGUGCUUUUAUACUUUUUAUUAUAAUCCAAUUAUUUUUCUCAUCAUUUGUUUUAAUUUAGCCACCAGCCUUAUCUCAUUUGCUUUUUAUUUGGUCCCAUUUUUGGUAACCCUGUUUUCCAAAUGGUUAGCCUGGGGAGAAGAGGUGAUAUAAAUCAAUAGAAAAUGUCAGUUUCUGAAUAGAAUAGAAGGGGGCAAAUUUUCUUAUGCGGUGAAUGUUCAUUCUUUAAAUUAAGGAUUGGCAAUGCUAGAUGGAUUUUCUUUCUAGCAUAUUCUAUAUGUUGUCAUUUUAAAAGUCAUUUACUGGUUAGGACAGGCUUUGCUAAGCUUGAAUGUUUCAUGACCUGGACUGGUUUAAUUUUAAGGCUUUGACCACCAAUUGUCCCAAUUUUGAAGUAGACUCUACAAUAUAUCGAAUGAUCUUAGUUUUAUUAGAUAUGUAGAUGACUAAGACUUUUUGUAUUUUUAUACAAUCUGCUUGCUCAUCUUUUUUUUUUUUGGCCUUGAUUCUAUUUUAAACAUUCUUAACAGGGUCCAAGUGUGCACCCCUCAUUGUUGCAUUUUAUCAUUCCACCAUUAAGUUUAUCAUAUUUUGAAUAUUGUAGGUCCAAAGAAGUUUUAUAAGUUUGUGCAGGAGAGAUUGCAGAAUCCACCAACUUCACUUCCCUUAAAUAACUGUAAGAGACCUGCAGAUGUUAAAUUAGUGGAGGAGAUGCAAAAAAAAGUAGAAGAAAUGCUGGAAGACAUGGCAAAGUUAAAACAACAAAAUGAGACAUCAGCCAAAUGCAUGGAGGGAACAAAACCUGUGAAGAAGGGACCAAAUGAAGGCAGCAGAAAGUUAGAUGUUUUGGAACCUGAGAAGAAGAGAAUUUUUAUUCGUUCUCGGCUGUAGAAUGGGGUCAACCUUAAUGACCUCAAUGCCUGAAACUUAAAAUGGCCAAAAUAACUGCAUUCUAUGUCUUUCUUAAUAGUGUCGUGGAUAAACAAUGCUUAUUAGCUGUACCAUUAUGUUAAGUUAAUAGCUUUUUACUGUAUAUGGGUAUUGGUUUUUCCAUUAAUGCUUCCUCUUUUCUUCCUCUGGUCUUCUUUCUAAUUGUUUCCUUAUUUUCUGGUUAGAGGAUUCUAUCUGGAAGUUGUUUGUAGGAUGACCUUACAAUUCAAAACUAAUGUUUAUUUCAAGAGUUAAAAUUUCCUGAAAAAGAAUUAUUCAAAAUUGAAUUUGUCAUUACUUAUCAGUCAUGCUCAUUUUACGAAGUCAUUGAAUAGGGUAAUCGUAGAUUUUAUAUUACAGCUCAAUGAAAUUAAACUCGAAAAGAAUUAAAAUCUUCAAUUUUUUCAAAUUGGGAGUUUUUGUUUGUAAUCGACACUGUGAACCGAAAACGGCAGACUUUGUCCUCCUGAAGUUGUCUGCCUUGGUCAUUAGCCCAAAUAAAUAAGGGUAGUUUUGUCACUUAGUAAAAAAUUUCUCUUCAUUUCCAUCCGCAUCUGUUGCUUCUUGUUUCUCUCACUCUCGCAGUUUCUCUCAACUUCCACUCUCUAGGGUAAACAAUCAUGGCAGCAUGGACUGCGGCUGCUCGUCAAGCCGCGAAUCUCACUACGCUUUCCUCUCCAAGAGUUGCUUCAGCUCCUCAAGCUGCUUCCCUCAUCCAUCGGCGCGGUCUAGCCGGUGGUGGAGGUAAUCUUUUCUGUCCUUUUUGGAAUCCAAAAGAUCAAUGCUUGAGACCUAAAAUUGUUGUUUUUGUUUUAGUUUAUUUUUCUCAAAUUUAUCUAACAAUUAAGGAUUGAUGUUGAUGCUAAAACUGUAUCUGCCAAGGAUCAUAUAUGCAAUUUAUUGUUUUGAUACAUUUGCCGAUAUCAACUAGGAAAAGAGAAAAAAUAAAUAAAGAAAACAAAAUAAAGGAAUUUUUGAUGUUUGGGGUUUUGUUGAUUAUUAGUUUUGUUUGUUUGAUUUGUAUUGC